rnacentral:rRNA from 1 species
UACGAAGGGGGCUAGCGUUGCUCGGAAUCACUGGGCGUAAAGGGUGCGUAGGCGGGUUUUUAAGUCAGGGGUGAAAUCCUGGAGCUCAACUCCAGAACUGCCUUUGAUACUGAAGAUCUUGAGUCCGGGAGAGGUGAGUGGAACUGCGAGUGUAGAGGUGAAAUUCGUAGAUAUUCGGAAGAACACCAAUGGCGAAGGCAGCUCGCUGGGACGGUACUGACGCUGAGGCGCGAAAGCGUGGGGAGCAAACAGG